AACAAUGACAGCCCGAUGGGAAGUGGGAGGGGGGGUGGAGCGGCCUCCAGAAAGCGCCCCUGACUGCACCCGUGUUCUCUUGCUCGGCGGUGCUAAAACAAGCUUGCUCCGAGGAGCUGUAGAUGCUGUUUCUAACGGGUGAAAAUAGUUUCUGGCCUGUCGCUCCUCGUCCCAGCUGCAGCCAGCCAAUGAAAGAUAGACGCAGGGGACCCCCGAGCCAAUGGAAACCUCCCGGCCUGCGGAGGACUUGCCACUGGAAACAUUUAUGGACACCUGGCCAAGAGGCUUCCCUUGGGGGUUGCCUUUCCAGAAGCCCAGGACAGUUUCCAGACGGCUUUCACAUGAGUGAUUUAGCUGGUAAUCACUCUAACCUAUAUUACUCAUACGUAACCAGUGGAGGAAGUGACACUCAGACGUGUUCAACCAUAUACCCAAAGAGAUGCAGCUGCCAGUGAUAACGGUGGGACUAGAGCUCAGGGGUCCUGACUGCAAACCCAGGGCUCUUUAAAUGCAUCCCAGGAAGGAAACCAGGCCUGCUUUAUGAUUUCUGGUGCCCAGGGCACACCCAGCAAUUAAAAUGAAAUCCAGAAGGAUGAGGUUAAUUUUUUUUCUUAGUCAUCGCUCUUUCAAACUGUCCCCUUGAAACACGGUUGGCUCUGCCAUUAUACACCUGGGUGUGAAGAAGAGAUGUGACGGACUCACUGCUAGGAAAGCCAGUGCUGGAGGUAAGAACAGAUUGGGGGGGAAAGGGGGUGAAGAUGGGUCACCAACUGUGGCUUUCUUCCUUAGCCAUACCUAUCAUUAGGUCAACUCAAGAUCUGUGGCCCUCUGUCUUCUCUCAUAUUGGUUACCCACUGGAGAGGUAUUUUCUUGUCCCGGGCUCUGCCUGCACAAAAUAGUCUACACCCAAGGGGCCGUCUGAAGCCUCCACCUCGGUCACGGCCACGGUCCCACCCCUGAGGAAACAAAGACACGCCCCCCUCCCAUGGCCAUGACAACAUUGUUAAAAUGAGUUUUGCUCCUAGAGGACAGUCACUUCAGCACUCACUGCGUCUCUGCCAUAGUCCCAGAUGAAGACUCUGGCGUGUUCAGCAAAGUGGGUAAUCCUCAGUGGUCCCCAAGCCUGAAUGACCUUCACAGUCAAGCUUUUUAAAAAUGCACAUCACUGAACACGUCUCUGGGUUGGGAUUCAGGAGGUCCUGGAUGUGUGCUAUUUGUUUUGUUUUAUUUUAUUUAUUUAUU